CAAGAGCGUAUAUUAAAGUUGCUGCGGUUAAAAAGCUCGUAGUUGGAUUUCAGUCUAGGGAGGUUAACUCGCCGAAAGGUUGUACGUUGAUUUUCCUCAGACUUCGUCAGAAGCUCGUGCUGCACUUAACUGUGUGGUACGAUGUUCUGACCUUUUACCUUGAGGAAAGUAGAGUGUUUCAGGCAGGCUACCCAGCUUGAAUACAUUAGCAUGGAAUAAUGAAAUGGAUCUCGGUUCGAUUUCGUUGGUUCUAGAGCUGAGGUGAUGAUCAAUAGGAACAGGCGAAGGUAUUCGUACUUGAGAGUGAGGAGUGAAAUCCGAUGAUCUCUUAAAGACGAUCCGAGGCGAAAGCAUUUGUCAAGGAUGUUUUCAUUGA
rnacentral:rRNA from 1 species